AUGGCCGCGACGGCGAGGCUCCGGCCGGCACGAGCUCGCGGCGUGCUCUGGAGCGUCUCGGUGUGGCUCGUCUGCGGCGCUGCGGCGUACGCGCCGGAGGACAACUACCUCGUCAGCUGCGGCUCCUCGCUGGACACGCCGGUGGGCCGGAGGCUCUUCCUCGCCGACGACGGCGGCUCCGGCUCCGGCUCCGGCGCGGUCACCCUGACGUCCCCUCGCAGCGCCGCGGUGAAGGCCCCGCCGGACCUGGUGUCCGGCUUCCGCGACGCCGCGCUGUACCAGAACGCCAGGGUGUUCUCCGCGCCCUCUUCCUACUCCUUCGCCAUCAGGCGCCGCGGCCGGCACUUCCUCCGCCUCCAUUUCUUCCCCUUCGUGUACCGGAGCUACGACCUCGCCGUGGCGGCCAGGGCGUUCAAGGUGUCCACGCAGGACGCCGUGCUGCUCGAGGACGGCGUCCCGGCGCCCGAGCCCGGCAACGCGUCGACGUCGACGUCGCCCCAGCCGGCGCGCGUGGAGUUCCUCCUGGACGUCGCGCGCGACACGCUCGUGGUCUCGUUCGUGCCGCUCGUCGACGGGGGCAUCGCGUUCGUGAACGCCGUCGAGCUCGUCUCCGUGCCCGACGACCUCGUCGCCGACGCGGCGGACUCGUCGACGGGCCGGCCAGAGCCGAUCCCCGCCGCGCUGCCGCUGCAGACGGCCUACCACCUCAACGUGGGCGGCCCGGCCGUCGCGCCCGACGACGACGCGCUCUGGCGAGAAUGGACUACCGACCAGCCCCUCUCCGAUCCUAGGGUCGACGCGGUGACUCGGGAGGUUCGUUACAACAGGACGCUGAACCGCCUGCCCGGGCAAGCGACGGCGACCGACGCGCCGGACAUCGUCUACGCCACGGCGAGGGAGCUCGUGAUCAACCGCAGCUCAUUCGACGGGCAGAAACAGAUGGCGUGGCAGUUCGACGUCGACGCGGGCUCCAGCUAUUUCAUCAGGUUCCACUUCUGCGACAUCGUCAGCGAGGCUCCCCACCAGCUCCACAUCAACGCCUACGUCGAUGACGCCAGUCACGCCACCGUGCUGACGGACCUUGACCUCGCCGCCGUCGGCGAUGGUGCGCUGGCGUUCCCGUACUACAAGGACUUCGUGUUGCCUGCUAGCGAAGCGUCCGGGAAACUCGCCGUCCAUGUUGGCCCGUUGGCAAAUAAGAUCGUGAUGCCCGCCGCCAUCCUCAAUGGGAUUGAGAUCAUGAAGAUGCACCUGAGCGCCGGCUCUGUCGUCGUCGUAGAGCCGGCGGCGGGGGCAGCCAAGUCGCGUCUCGCCGUCAUUCUUGGCUCCGUGUGUGGAGCGCUCGCUUUCGUGUCCAUCGCCAUUGCUCUCGCCAUUGUCCUUAGGAAGAAGAAGGGGGAGGGGGAGGAGGGUGUUAAGGAGCAGCCGACGCCGACGCGGAGCCAGUCGUCCACGCCAUGGAUGCCACUCCUCGGCCGCCUCAGCGUUCGCGGCGCCAUUGCAUCAGGAUCGUCAAGCUUCACUACCGCCGGUAACACUCCGGGAGCGAGCCCGAGGGCUGCUGCUGCUGCCGCCGCCGCGGUGGUGCCAAGCUACCGUUUCCCGCUCGCCAUGUUGCAAGACGCGACGCGCAACUUCGACGACAGCCUGAUCAUCGGAGAGGGAGGGUUCGGCAAGGUGUACGGCGCCGUGCUCCAGGACGGCACCAAGGUCGCCGUGAAGCGCGCGAGCCCGGAGUCGCGGCAGGGCGCGCGGGAGUUCCGCACGGAGAUCGAGCUUCUGUCCGGGCUGCGCCACCGCCACCUGGUGUCGCUCGUCGGCUACUGCGACGAGCGGGAGGAGAUGAUCCUGCUGUACGAGUACAUGGAGCACGGCUCGCUGAGGAGCCGGCUGUACGGCCGCGGCGGCGCGGCGCCGCUGAGCUGGGCGCAGCGGCUGGAGGCGUGCGCCGGCGCGGCGAGGGGCCUCCUGUACCUGCACACGGCCGUGGACAAGCCGGUGAUCCACCGCGACGUCAAGUCGUCCAACAUCCUGCUGGACGGCGACCUCACGGGCAAGGUGGCCGACUUCGGGCUGUCCAAGGCCGGGCCGGUGCUCGACGAGACGCACGUGAGCACGGCCGUCAAGGGCAGCUUCGGGUACGUCGACCCGGAGUACUGCCGGACGAGGCAGCUGACGGCCAAGUCCGACGUGUACUCGCUGGGCGUCGUGCUGCUGGAGGCCGUCUGCGCGCGCCCCGUCGUCGACCCGAGGCUGCCGAAGCCCAUGUCGAACCUGGUGGAGUGGGGGCUGCACUGGCAGGGCAGAGGCGAGCUGGAGAAGAUCGUGGACCGGCGCAUCGCCGCCGUGGCGAGGCCGGCGGCGCUGAGGAAAUACGGCGAGACGGUGGCCAGGUGCCUGGCGGAGCGCGGCGCCGACCGGCCGGCCAUGGAAGACGUGGUGUGGAACCUGCAGUUCGUGAUGCGGCUGCAGGAGGGCGACGGCCUGGACUUCUCCGACGUGAGCAGCCUCAACAUGGUGACAGAGCUCACGCCGCCUCGCCGUCAGAGAAGCGCGGUCGAUUGCGACGGCCUGGACUUCUCCGACGUGAGCAGCCUCAACAUGGUUACAGAGCUCACGCCGCCUAAAACCGGCAGCAUGGAAGGAGACGGUGUAGCCGACGAUGACGAUUUCACAGACGCAUCCAUGAGAGGGACCUUUUGGCAGAUGGUCAAUGUCCGCAGCAGAUGA
rnacentral:rRNA from 1 species